AUUAAAACUCUGCUUCUGUCUCUGGUAAACGAGCUUAUUAAGAAAAGAACAACAGAGAAGCUCAGCGACACGACGACACUCUGUGUUACCCAGGAAGCAAACAGGCGCUCACACUCUGUCUCCAGUAAUUUAACACUGUUGUCUCUCUGCUUUUGAUGAGAAAGGAGUUUCAACAAGGCCAGUAGAUGUCAUUUCAUUUGUUGUGUAGAAUAACAACGUGUUGUGUUUGGAUGCCAGCCAGUGUCUCCACACAGCUGCUGACCAGAGGUCAGGUUCCAUUAGACAGAACCAAACCUACACUCUGGUCCUGGUUCUAGUUAAACACUAGGCUGUGUGAAGUCGUCUGUGCUGCAGACGGCGGCUGAACCCGAGCUGAUGACGGAGCUGAUCCAAACUUAACGUUGGAGCUGCAGCAGAGGAGGAGCUGAACAGUUUUUAUAAAGUUACUACGUUUGUUUCACUGAAGAGAACAAAACAGACCGAGCUGUGUCAGAGUGUACUGCUCAUGAUAAAACACAGUUUUACAAAGCAACAUGUUCAGUCCUCAAUCCUGUCACGUAAACUAAUGCUCUUGUGUUUUUGCUGUUUUAAAAGAACGCCCAACGAAUGUAAACAAAGACGUGGCAACUCCAAACGACACAAACAGCUCGACAGGAACUUAUGCUGUUGUUGGUUGUCUUCUUGCUGCUCUUGUUGCUGCCAUUGCUGCUCUUCUUGUCAGACUCACUAGAAAAUCCUACAAAGAGCAACAAGUCCAGAUGGAAGCGGAGAGAAACUGCCUGGAACUGGAAGGACUACGUCCACAAAUGCCAAGGGGCGGUGUACAGGAAGUCUGAGUGCUGGCUGCCAGAGGAUUGCGUAGUAGAAGGUGCACAAACCAGGAGAGGACACAACACAGGGGACGGUCAGGAGAACAACCAGGAGCUACAGCCACUGAAUGAGGAAAACACACACAACAUUAACACUAACAAUAUGGAAACACUAAGAACAGCAGGUCUACACCACCAGAACAGUCUGUUCUCUGACCAGCUACGAGGUGAAAACAUAGGAAAGGAUGAAGGAUUUUCAUCCAUCCAAAAAGGUUUUUAACCAGGUGGCUCCAGAAAAACAGCUUUUAUUAAAAGAAAAAAGACAGAUUACACAAUGAGCUCCGCUCAUUUUAUUAACGUGGAAAAAUAUUUUCCAUGAAAUGAAGCAGAAACAUUACACCCAGAGUUUCUGUCAGUGUAACAGUGAUGAGCCAGUUGUUCUCCUGACUGCUGGAAUCUUAACAUAAACAAUUUCUUUUUUUUAUAUUCUUGAUUCAAAUGCGGGACGUUGCUCCGAGGUUCUUCUUAACAUUAGGUUGUUGUGG